rnacentral:rRNA from 1 species
GACGAACGCUGGCGGCGUGCUUAACACAUGCAAGUCGAACGGAAAGGCCCUGCUUUUGUGGGGUGCUCGAGUGGCGAACGGGUGAGUAACACGUGAGUAACCUGCCCUUGACUUUGGGAUAACUUCAGGAAACUGGGGCUAAUACCGGAUAGGAGCUCCUGCUGCAUGGUGGGGGUUGGAAAGUUUCGGCGGUUGGGGCUGGACUCGCAGCUUAUCAGCUUGUUGGUGGGGUAGUGGCUUACCAAGGCUUUGACGGGUAGCCGGCCUGAGAGGGUGACCGGCCACCAUGGGACUGAGAGACGGCCCAGACUCCUACGGGACGCAGCAGUGGGGAAUAUUGCACAAUGGGCGGGAGCCUGAUGCAGCAACGCCGCGUGCGGGAAGACGGCCUUCGGGUUGUAAACCGCUUUCGACGGUGACGAAGCGGGAGUGACGGUAAUGGGUAAAGAAGCACCGGCUAACUACGUG